rnacentral:rRNA from 1 species
AGUGAACGCUGGCGGUAGGCCUAACACAUGCAAGUCGAACGGCAGCACAGGAGAGCUUGCUCUCUGGGUGGCGAGUGGCGGACGGGUGAGGAAUACAUCGGAAUCCACUCUGUCGUGGGGGAUAACGUAGGGAAACUUACGCUAAUACCGCAUACGACCUACGGGUGAAAGCAGGGGACCUUCGGGCCUUGCGCGAUUGAAUGAGCCGAUGUCGGAUUAGCUAGUUGGCGGGGUAAAGGCCCACCAAGGCGACGAUCCGUAGCUGGUCUGAGAGGAUGAUCAGCCACACUGGAACUGAGACACGGUCCAGACUCCUACGGGAGGCAGCAGUGGGGAAUAUUGGACAAUGGGCGCAAGCCUGAUCCAGCCAUACCGCGUGGGUGAAGAAGGCCUUCGGGUUGUAAAGCCCUUUUGUUGGGAAAGAAAUCCAGCUGGCUAAUACCCGGUUGGGAUGACGGUACCCAAAGAAUAAGCACCGGCUAGCUUCGUGCCAGCAGCCGCCGUAA